AAUACCAAACGGUUCUAUCAAUGGCACAUUAUAAUAUAUUGUAAACAUAAGAAUUUAGAUUUAAAAGUAUCUGGUGUAUCUCGUGGUUCAGGUGCCUUUUCUUUUCUGUUUUCUACCUUGGUAUUGGUGAUGCCAGGUUCUUUGAAGAUGCUUUAAAUAGCUGGAAAGGGAUUUUCACCUCAAGGAAACACAGAGAUUUUUCUCUAUAAUUAAAAAAAAUAGACACAUAUAGAGAUGCAUGUUUGUAUGUACCAUUUAGAGGGAGAAUGAUAAGAGAUGCUUUAUGGGGUGGAACUCCCCUUCACAAAGUUCGUAAGUUGACUCGAGUAUUUUCUUUUCUGGAUUCCAGAAGGUGUAUCGGGACCUUCUCAGCACUAGAAAAGAUGUUUACAGAAACAUUUGUUCUUCUAUCGGACAGUUAGUAUUUGUGCUGCAUCAUUUACACAUCAUUGAAGAACACUUGGUUUUAGAUGAGAGACAGAGUGUGCAAAAGAAAGAAAUAUGAACUGAUGUAAUUCCUAAGAGUGACGUUGUCAGCUGAAUAGAGUCUUUUACCUGUUAUGCUACUUCUUAUGCAUGCAGCUUUUCCAUUAGAAAAAAGCUCUUUAUUCUUCAGCUUGUAGAAGCACGCGAUCUAGAUGGCUUACUUGAGCUUGUAUAGCAAGGGAGGAU
rnacentral:lncRNA from 1 species